CCGCUUACGCCACUUCCGGGAACGCUGGAAGAAGGCGUGUCCCCGCUGGCAGCUGGAGCGCGGCCUAGGCCUGGCGGCCCCGUUGCUAAGCAACACCGACGCCCUGGCGCGCGGGGGAGCGGAUCCCGCGCUACCCGUGCGCGCUGCCAGGGCCACGGACCCGGCGCAGGUACGGCUUACACCCGCAAGGCGACAGCGGUUUCCCCCCAGCGUGUUUAAGUUUUGCAUCAAAAAGUCAUCAAAGGGAUGCGAGGGACUCUUGCUUUCGGCUCGGGUGGUGAUCUCACAGGGAAACUUCAGCAAGAACCAUCUCCGCAACUGCAGCAGGCCCUGGCCUCCCUCUCCUGACAGUGUCACUCUCCACCAAUCUGUGGCCAAGUCCCCAACCUGGAUGGCCACAGCCAGCACCAUCUGCAGGGCCUAGAAGUGUUCUGUUCUGCCUUCUGUUCGUUCCAGGUGUGCAAAAUAAACCAUCCAAAGGAAGGAGCACUUCCUGAAUGCUCACAAGGAGUGAGACUCUA